UAUAGCUCAGGGAUAGAGUAUUUGCCUAGUGUGCACAAGACUGUGGGUUCCAUUCCCAUUA
rnacentral:tRNA from 1 species